CAGAGGAUAGUUUAUCGUAAAAUGCCAGCUUUGGGAGCUGGAGAUAAGGGUUUAAGUCCUUUUUCUCUGA
rnacentral:tRNA from 1 species